GCGACGGUAGUGCAACGGUACGAGCACGCACGCCCGUGAUAGCGUGAGAUUUGGGUUUGAGUCCCAACUUACGCA